rnacentral:rRNA from 1 species
CCAUCGGAUAACCCGUCGAAAGGCGGCCUAACACGAUAUGCGGUUCUCAGCAGGCAUCUAACGAGAACGAAAUGUGAAGGAGAAGGAUGGGGAUGCGUCUGAUUAGCUUGUUGGCGGGGUAACGGCCCACCAAGGCUACGAUCAGUAGGGGUUCUGAGAGGAAGGUCCCCCACAUUGGAACUGAGACACGGUCCAAACUCCUACGGGAGGCAGCAGUGAGGAAUAUUGGUCAAUGGACGCAAGUCUGAACCAGCCAAGUAGCGUGCAGGAUGACGGCCCUAUGGGUUGUAAACUGCUUUUAUAAGGGAAUAAAGUGAGCCUCGUGAGGCUUUUUGUAUGUACCUUAUGAAUAAGGACCGGCUAAUUCCGUGCCAGCAGCCGCGGUAAUACGGAAGGUCCGGGCGUUAUCCGGAUUUAUUGGGUUUAAAGGGAGCGUAGGCCGGAGAUUAAGCGUGUUGUGAAAUGUAGAUGCUCAACAUCUGCACUGCAGCGCGAACUGGUUUCCUUGAGUACGCACAAAGUGGGCGGAAUUCGUGGUGUAGCGGUGAAAUGCUUAGAUAUCACGAAGAACUCCGAUUGCGAAGGCAGCUCACUGGAGCGCAACUGACGCUGAAGCUCGAAAGUGCGGGUAUCGAACAGGAUUAGAUACCCUGGUAGUCCGCACGGUAAACGAUGGAUGCCCGCUGUUGGUCUGAAUAGGUCAGCGGCCAAGCGAAAGCAUUAAGCAUCCCACCUGGGGAGUACGCCGGCAACGGUGAAACUCAAAGGAAUUGACGGAAGGGCGU